rnacentral:misc_RNA from 1 species
CUCAACGCAUCGGCAUCGCCCACACUCUCACUUGCUCCCCUGCCCCUCCCGUCUCUGCCUUUUCCCCACUUUUUCACCCCCUUCCACUGCUCCACGAAAUCACAACAGCCUCCUGCCGUUCGCUCGACCUCCGGCGAAUCUCUACUCUCUCUGGCGGCAUGGAUGCGGGCGUCAGGUCAUUCCGGUCGAUACUUGACAAACCCCUAACUCAGCUCACAGAAGACGACAUUUCCCAGCUCACACGCGAAGAUUGCCG